AACCUGGUAGCACAAAGUCAGUGCAUCUGCUUCAGAUCAUGAACCAAAUUCUCAUGCGUGGCAGAAGAUCUCUGUUCGAUUCGGAGUCAGGUGU